ensembl:rRNA 5S_rRNA 5S ribosomal RNA
UACUACGUUCUAUCAUAUUACGUUUAGAACGCCCCAUCUUUCGAUCUGGGAAGUUAAGCAACGUCGGGCCCGGUUAGUACUUGGAUAGGUGACCGCCUGCUGGGAAUACCAGGUGCUGUAUUAU